rnacentral:misc_RNA from 1 species
GAUGUAGAACGUAGCGAAAUGCGAUAAGUAGUGUGAAUUGCAGAAUUCAGUGAAUCAUCGAAUCUUUGAACGCACAUUGCGCCCCUUGGUAUUCCAUGGGGCAUGCCUGUUCGAGCGUCAUUUGUACCUUCAAGCUCUGCUUGGUGUUGGGUGUUUGUCCUUGCUCUAGUGGCGGGACUCGCCUUAAAGUAAUUGGCAGCCAGUGUUUUGGUUUUGAAGCGCAGCACAAGUCGCGAUUCAAGUCUAUACGCUAGUUUCCACAAGUCUUUUAUCACUUUUGACCUCGGAUCAGGUAGGGAUACCCGCUGAACUUAAGCAUAUCAAUAAGCGGAGGA